GGUUUUAUAGUUUAUUUAUUAAAACAUCUAAAUUGCAAAUUUAGAAAUACUAUUAAGUUAAAACCU
rnacentral:tRNA from 1 species